rnacentral:rRNA from 1 species
UACGGUUGCAAAGCUGAAACUUAAAGGAAUUGACGGAAGGGCACCACCAGGAGUGGAGCCUGUGGCUUAAUUUGACUCAACACGGGAAACCUCACCCGGUCCGGACACUGGAAGGAUUGACAGACUAAAGCUCUUUCUUGAUUCAGUGGGUGGUGGUGCAUGGCCGUUCUUAGUUGGUGGAGUGAUUUGUCUGGUUAAUUCCGAUAACGAACGAGACUCUCGCCUGCUAAAUAGUUUUCCAUACGUUACUUUAUGGAACCUAAAACUUCUUAGAGGUACAAGUGGCGUUUAGCCACACGAAACAGAGCAAUAACAGGUCUGUGAUGCCCUUAGAUGUCCGGGGCCGCACAUGUGCUACAAUGAAUGCAUCAACGUGUAUCAGCCUCGCCCGAAAGGGUUGGGGAAUCCGCUGAACGGCAUUCUCAGUAGGGAUUGGGGAUUGCAAUUAUUUCCCAUGAACACGGAAUUCCCAGUAGGCGCCAGUCAUCAGCUGGCGUCGAUUGAGUCCCUGCCCUUUGUACACACCGCCCGUCGCUACUACCGAUCGCUCUUGUUAAUGAGCUUGUCGGAUUGGACCCGGUGAGCAGUCGUUGCGCUUCAUCUCCUCGCGGGGUGGGCCUUCGUCUGCGAGCUUUUGGUGUAUGCCGAGAAGAUCGGCAAAUUAUCUGGAGUAGAGGAAGUAAAAGUCGUAACAAGGUAUCCGUAGGUGAACCUGCGGAUGNNNNNNNNNNUUUAAAAAUCGGCGGUCACCACCAAAAUAUAUGUCGUAUACAAUAGACACGAUAGGUGGAUGUCCGCGAGGGUUGCUUCUCGGUAGAAAGAUACAUACAAAAAGUAAAAGAGAAGCCGCCGAGUGGCGAGUUGUUGAAAGUAGCCCAGCGAAACAACGGAACAAACCCUCGGAAUAAGAAAGAAAAAGACGUGCUGUAC